rnacentral:rRNA from 1 species
CGUAGGGUGCAAGCGUUAAUCGGAAUUACUGGGCGUAAAGCGUGCGCAGGCGGUUAUGUAAGACAGGUGUGAAAUCCCAGGGCUUAACCUUGGAACUGCAUUUGUGACUGCAUAGCUAGAGUACGGUAGAGGGGGAUGGAAUUCCGCGUGUAGCAGUGAAAUGCGUAGAUAUGCGGAGGAACACCGAUGGCGAAGGCAAUCCCCUGGACCUGUACUGACGCUCAUGCACGAAAGCGUGGGGAGCAAACAGGAUUAGAUACCCUGGUAGUCCACGCCCUAAACGAUGUCAACUGGUUGUUGGGUCUUUACUGACUCAGUAACGAAGCUAACGCGUGAAGUUGACCGCCUGGGGAGUACGGCCGCAAGGUUG